GCAGUCGUACGAGAGUUUAGAACUCAAGUGGCGGACGGGUGAGUAACACGUGAGAAUUUACCUUUAGGAGUGGGAUAACAAUUGGAAACGAUUGCUAAUACCCCAUAUGCUUUCGAGUGAAAUAGAGUUAUCUGCCUAAAGAGAAGCUCGCGGCUGAUUAGCUUGUUGGUAAGGUAAUGGCUUACCAAGGCGACGAUCAGUAUCUGGUUUGAGAGGACAAUCAGACACAUUGGAACUGAGACACGGUCCAGACUCCUACGGGAGGCAGCAGUGGGGAAUUUUCCGCAAUGGGCGAAAGCCUGACGGAGCAAUACCGCGUGAGGGAAGACGGCCCAUGGGUUGUAAACCUCUUUUUUCAGUGAGGAAACAAAUGACGUGUAGCUGAAGAAUAAGCAUCGGCUAACUCCGUGCCAGCAGCCGCGGUAAGACGGAGGAUGCAAGUGUUAUCCGGAAUCACUGGGCGUAAAGCGUCUGUAGGUGGUUUAAUAAGUCAACUGUUAAAUCUUGAGGCUUAACUUCAAAAUCGCAGUCGAAACUAUUAGACUAGAGUAUAGUAGGGGUAAAGGGAAUUUCCAGUGGAGCGGUGAAAUGCGUAGAUAUUGGAAAGAACACCGAUGGCGAAGGCACUUUACUGGGCUAUUACUAACACUCAGAGACGAAAGCUAGGGUAGCAAAUGGGAUUAGAUACCCCAGUAGUCCUAGCCGUAAACAAUGGAUACUAGAUGUUGAACAGAUCGACCUGUGCAGUAUUAAAGCUAACGCGUUAAGUAUCCCGCCUGGGGAAGUAUGCCC
rnacentral:rRNA from 1 species